UAGGGAAUCUUCCGCAAUGGGCGAAAGCUUGACGGAGCAACGCCGCGUGAGUGAUGAAGGUCUUCGGAUCGUAAAACUCUGUUAUUAGGGAAGAACAAAUGUGUAAGUAACUAUGCACGUCUUGACGGUACCUAAUCAGAAAGCCACGGCUAACUACGUGCCAGCAGCCGCGGUAAUACGUAGGUGGCAAGCGUUAUCCGGAAUUAUUGGGCGUAAAGCGCGCGUAGGCGGUUUUUUAAGUCUGAUGUGAAAGCCCACGGCUCAACCGUGGAGGGUCAUUGGAAACUGGAAAACUUGAGUGCAGAAGAGGAAAGUGGAAUUCCAUGUGUAGCGGUGAAAUGCGCAGAGAUAUGGAGGAACAACAGUGGCGAAGGCGACUUUAUGGUCGGUAACUGACGCUGAUGUGCGAAAGCGGGGGGAUCAAACAGG
rnacentral:rRNA from 1 species